rnacentral:rRNA from 1 species
UGGGGAAUAUUGCACAAUGGGCGAAAGCCUGAUGCAGCAACGCCGCGUGCGGGAUGACGGCCUUCGGGUUGUAAACCGCUUCCAGCAGGGACGAAGGUUUUCUGACGGUACCUGCAGAAGAAGCACCGGCUAACUACGUGCCAGCAGCCGCGGUGAUACGUAGGGUGCGAGCGUUGUCCGGAAUUAUUGGGCGUAAAGAGCUUGUAGGCGGUCCGUUGCGUCGGAAGUGAAAACUCAGGGCUUAACCCUGAGCCUGCUUUCGAUACGGGCGGACUUGAGGGAUGUAGGGGAGAACGGAAUUCCUGGUGGAGCGGUGGAAUGCGCAGAUAUCAGGAGGAACACCAGUGGCGAAGGCGGUUCUCUGGACAUUUCCUGACGCUGAGAAGCGAAAGCGUGGGGAGCAAACAGGCUUAGAUACCCUGGUAGUCCACGCCGUAAACGGUGGCACUAGGUGUGGGACCCAUUCCACGGGUUCCGUGCCGUAGCUAACGCAUUAAGUGCCCCGCCUGGGGUAGUACGGCCGCAAGGCUAAAACC